GAUGAACGCUGGCGGCGUGCUUAACACAUGCAAGUCGAACGAACCUUCGGGUUAGUGGCGGACGGGUGAGUAACGCGUGAGAAUCUGCCCUCAGGAGGGGGAUAACGGCUGGAAACGGCCGCUAAUACCCCAUAUGCCGCGAGGUGAAAUGAAAUUCGCCUGAGGAUGAGCUCGCGUUUGAUUAGCUAGUUGGUGGGGUAAGAGCCUACCAAGGCAUCGAUCAGUAGCUGGUUUGAGAGGAUGAUCAGCCACACUGGGACUGAGACACGGCCCAGACUCCUACGGGAGGCAGCAGUGGGGAAUUUUCCGCAAUGGGCGAAAGCCAGACGGAGCAACGCCGCGUGAGGGAUGAAGGCCUUUGGGCUGUAAACCUCUUUUAUCAAGGAAGAAGAUCUCUCUGAAAAGGAUGAAUAAGCCCCGGCUAAUUCCGUGCCAGCACCCGGGU
rnacentral:rRNA from 1 species